rnacentral:rRNA from 1 species
GAUCCUGGCUCAGGAUGAACGCUAGCUACAGGCUUAACACAUGCAAGUCGAGGGGCAGCAUUAGAUUAGCUUGCUAAUUAGAUGGCGACCGGCGCACGGGUGAGUAACGCGUAUCCAACCUUCCCCCUGCUCAGGGAUAGCCCGGUGAAAACCGGAUUAAGACCUGAUAGUUUCACUAGAUGGCAUCUGACGGUGAAUAUAGGUUUCGGCAAGGGAUGGGGAUGCGUCUGAUUAGUUGUUGGCGGGUAACGGCCACCAAGGCGACGAUCAGUAGGGGUUCUGAGAGGAAGGUCCCCCACAUUGGAACUGAGACACGGUCCAAACUCCUACGGGAGGCAGCAGUGAGGAAUAUUGGUCAAUGGGCGGAAGCCUGAACCAGCCAAGUAGCGUGCAAGGAUGACGGCCCUAUGGGUUGUAAACUGCUUUUGUGCGGGAAUAAAGUCAGGGACGUGUCCCUGUUUGCAUGUACCGCAAGAAUAAGGACCGGCUAAUUCCGUGCCAGCAGCCGC